rnacentral:rRNA from 1 species
GUAGUUAGCCGGGGCUUCCUCCUCAGAUACCGUCACUUCCUUCGUCUCUGAGGACAGAGGUUUACAACCCGAAAGCCUUCUUCCCUCACGCGGCGUUGCUGGGUCAGGCUUGCGCCCAUUGCCCAAUAUUCCCCACUGCUGCCUCCCGUAGGAGUCUGGACCGUGUCUCAGUUCCAGUGUGGCCGAUCAGCCUCUCAGCUCGGCUACCCAUCGUUGGCUAGGUGGGCCGUUACCCCGCCUACUACCUAAUGGGACGCGAACCCCUCCUUUAGCGGAUUUCUCCUUUGACCUCUGUGUCAUGCGGCACUGUGGUCUUAUGCGGUAUUAGCACCUGUUUCCAAGUGUUAUCCCCCUCUAAAGGGCAGGUUGUUCACGCGUUACUCACCCGUUCGCCACUAGGUACAAAACCGAAGUCUCGUACCCCGUUCGACUUGCAUGUGUUAGGCACGCCGCCAGCGUCGUCCUCGAGCCACGUAGACUACUAACUACGUACGUACGUACGACGGCGGCGGUCGGACGGACGGACGACGACGUAG